ACACCUUUCUUGCCCUCUACUCUAACUUAUUUUUUUGAUCAUGACAUGAGAGGUUUGACUUGUUAACUUGUCUUACUUUGCCACGUAGGAUUGACCGCGCCAUGUGAACGUCUUAACUCAUGCUUGGAAAAUGUUGACUUAGUCGCCACGUAAGAUUUACGGCCCGGCCCAUAUAAGAGAUUUAUUUUACUACAACAUAAAUAUUUUUGCUUUCUUCUUGUACGACCUGUUGGAAACAAAAUAAAGCAUCUCAUCUGCUAUUAAUUUCAGUUGCUACGCCUUCUUAUACGACCUAUUGGAAACAAAAUAAAGCAUCUCAUCUGCUGUUUAUUUCAGUUGCUAAGCCUUCUUAUACGACCUGUUGGAAACAAAAUAAAGCAUCUCAUCUCCUGUUAAUUUCAGUUGCUACGCCUUAUCAUACGACCUGUUGGAAACAAAAAAAAAAAGGCAUCUCAUCUGCUGUUAAUUUCAGUUGCUAUGCACGGGCAUAGGACCUUAAAGUGUUCUUUAAAUUGAUUGAAGCUGUAAUUUAUUCUGUAAUGUUGUUGAUUUAAAACUACUUGCUUUAUUCUUAAACAACAUGUUGGAAUUGUUCUAUGGCCUAAAGAAGAUAAAAAAACCUGCUGUUAAUUCCCGUUGCUGGUGGAAAUUAACCAACACACAGGCAU
rnacentral:lncRNA from 1 species